ACACUGGCCAUGGUGCUAGGGCAUGCUGGGUGACCCGAACUGUGACACCCUGCUGUCUCCAGGCUGCAUCAGAUUGUCUGAGGCUGCUUUUAAAAAGUGUUUUAAAAUAAUCCUUUUUAUAGUGGAAUGAAGAAUAACGGCACAGAGAGGCUUCAGCUGGUAUAGGCAGAAGAAAAAUGGGAUUAAUUAGGAUAUGCCCUCAUACGCACAGAUUUCAGUGAAAGUUCUGCUCUGACAGAGCAGGCUGGAAAGGCUCUAUGCACCAGUGAUCGUGGUGGUGUACGGAAAAGGAGGGGAAGGAGGGAUGGUGCAGGAGCUCAGCUUGCAGGCUGCGAUCUUGGAGAAUAUCUGCUCUGCUGCCAACAUAAGAGCUGACAAAAAGCAACGCACCUAUGCAACAUUGAACUGUAGUCCAUCCCUCCGAAAUCUACCCAGGGCCAUUUAUGGAAAAUGGAUAUUUUGAAGAUCUCAUUGAAGAUCCGUCUCCAACCAGAAGUAGCAACAGACUAACUGCAAAUAGCAGCCCCAAAAAGUGAAGCCUCAAUGUGAGAUGUCCCUUGAAAGAGUACAUGAGAUAUCUGGUUGGUUUCUCAUGCUGCUUGGAAACUGAGUCCUCAGACCCAUAGUCUUUGCUCAUAUGCCCACAUCUUUGGGACGUAUCACCACUGCAUAAGUGACUCAGGUGAAAGUCAAGGAGCAACUGCAUCCAGGAAGACAAAUCUGCAGAACCUGCUGUUGAGGUUACUUUUUCAGUGCUUCACAGUUCCACUGGUAGCUUGGAUGGUGGCCAGGUCUGGUGGGAAAACAGAGUUGCCAGUGCUGACGCUGAAGCAGGAGCAGAGAUGUGCCAAAAAAACAGGCCCAGCUGAGAGGCACUGAAUGGCAUAAAAAUAUAACUCAAAGAGGGAUAUUGCAAGAGGGAUUGCAUAUUCUAGAUCCAAUUCCUUUCACCUUAUUCAAGUAAGAAGACCUAUUAAAAUGAAAAGA